AGCAGCCGCGGUAAUUCCAGCUCCAAUAGCGUAUAUUAAAGUUGUUGCAGUUAAAAAGCUCGUAGUUGAAUUUCGGGAUUAAUAUGCUGGUCGUGCCAUUGGUACGUACUAGUAUUAUUGAUUUCUCCCUUCUGAUAAAUCAUGAUGUCAUUAAUUUGAUGUCAUGAGGAAUCAGGACUGUUACUUUGAAAAAUUGAGUGUUUAAAGCAGGCUCGCGCUUGAAUACAUUAGCAUGGAAUAAUGAAAUAAGACGUUUGAUUCUAUUUUGUUGGUUUCUAGGAUUGACGUAAUGAUUAAUAGGGAUAGUUGGGGCAUUAGUAUUCAAUUGUCAGAGGUGAAAUUCUUGGAUUUAUUGAAGACUAACUACUGCGAAAGCAUUUGCCAAGGAUGUUUUCAUUAU
rnacentral:rRNA from 1 species